GACGGGGGCCCGCACAAGCGGAGGAACAUGUGGUUUAAUUCGAUGAUACGCGAGGAACCUUACCCGGGCUUGAACUGCAGCAGAACGAUUGAGAGAUCAUGAGGUCCUUCGGGACUGCUGUGGAGGUGCUGCAUGGUUGUCGUCAGCUCGUGCCGUGAGGUGUCGGCUUAAGUGCCAUAACGAGCGCAACCCCUCUCUUCAGUUGCCAUCAGGUAGAGCUGGGCACUCUGGAGACACUGCCACCGUAAGGUGUGAGGAAGGUGGGGAUGACGUCAAAUCAGCACGGCCCUUACGUCCGGGGCUACACACGUGUUACAAUGGGUGGUACAGAGCGUCGGCGGCCUGCAAAGUCCGUCCAAUCGCAAAAUCCAUCCUCAGUUCGGACUGGGGUCUGCAACCCGACCCCACGAAGCUGGAUUCGCUAGUAAUCGCGCAUCAGCCAUGGCGCGGUGAAUACGUUCCCGGGCCUUGUACACACCGCCCGUCAAGCCAUGAAAGCCGGGGGCGCCUGAAGUCCGUGACCGCGAGGGUCGGCCUAGGGUGAAACCGGUGAUUGGGGCUAAGUCGUAACAGGGGGUCCGUACAAA
rnacentral:rRNA from 1 species